rnacentral:rRNA from 1 species
GAGGAAGUAAAAGUCGUAACAAGGUUUCCGUAGGUGAACCUGCGGAAGGAUCAUUACCUAGAGUUGUGGGCUUUGCCUGCUAUCUCUUACCCAUGUCUUUUGAGUACUUACGUUUCCUCGGUGGGUUCGCCCGCCGAUUGGACAAUUUAAACCCUUUGCAGUUGCAAUCAGCGUCUGAAAAACAUAAUAGUUACAACUUUCAACAACGGAUCUCUUGGUUCUGGCAUCGAUGAAGAACGCAGCGAAAUGCGAUAAGUAGUGUGAAUUGCAGAAUUCAGUGAAUCAUCGAAUCUUUGAACGCACAUUGCGCCCCUUGGUAUUCCAUGGGGCAUGCCUGUUCGAGCGUCAUUUGUACCUUCAAGCUUUGCUUGGUGUUGGGUGUUUGUCUCGCCUUUGCGUGUAGACUCGCCUUAAAACAAUUGGCAGCCGGCGUAUUGAUUUCGGAGCGCAGUACAUCUCGCGCUUUGCACUCAUAACGACGACGUCCAAAAGUACUUUUUUACACUC